UAGGAAGUGGUGUAGUGGAAGCACAGGGAGCCUUGACCUCCCCGGGAAGGGUUCAAGCCCCUUCUUUCUAA
rnacentral:tRNA from 1 species